rnacentral:rRNA from 1 species
UACAGAGGGUGCGAGCGUUAAUCGGAAUUACUGGGCGUAAAGCGUGCGUAGUCGGUUAUUUAAGUCGGGUGUGAAAGCCCCGGGCUCAACCUGGGAAUUGCAUUCGAUACUGGAUAGCUAGAGUUCGGCAGAGGGAAGCGGAAUUUCCGGUGUAGCGGUGAAAUGCGUAGAUAUCGGAAGGAACAUCAGUGGCGAAAGCGGCUUCCUGGACCAGAACUGACGAUCAGGCACGAAAGCGUGGGGAGCAAACAGG